rnacentral:tRNA from 1 species
GACUCUUUGAUCUAAAGGUAAGAUAUUAAGUAGCUGGACUUAAUGAUAUCAGUUCGAUUCUGAUAAGAUUCU